UACAGAGACUGCAAGCGUUAUUCGGAUUCACUGGGCGUAAAGGGUGCGCAGGCGGCCAAGUGUGUGAGGCGUGAAAGCCCGGGGCUUAACCCCGGAAUUGCACCUCAAACUACAUGGCUAGAGCAUUGGAGAGGGUAGCAGAAUUCAUGGUGUAGCAGUGAAAUGCGUAGAUAUCAUGAGGAAUACCAGAGGCGAAGGCGGCUACCUGGACCGGCAUUGACGCUGAGGCGCGAAAGCUAGGGGAGCAAACGGG
rnacentral:rRNA from 1 species